GGAUCGAACGCGUCGUUGACGAUCGACCUCAAGCAGCACGCGACGGAACAUCGGUAUGGAUCGACGCCGACGCGCGAAUGCUCGGCGGCAGAGUACCUAGCGACGGCUAGCAACAGACUCUCAAGGAAGAUGCUCAGAGAGAGCGUCGGCAGUGUGGCGGUGAUCCACGCCGAGUUCUGGGUACUUUCCAUGAAUC